UCGCCCUUUUCCGGUUGAUCCCGCCGGACCCUACUGCUAUCGGGGUGGGACUAAGACAUGCGAGUCGUGCGUCUCUAAGCCAUGGUAGAGGCGCGGCGUACGGCUCAGUAACACGUGGUUAACCUACCCUUAGGACGGGGACAACCCCGGGAAACUGGGGCUAAUUUCUGAUAGGUGAGGAGGCCUGGAAUGGUUCUUCGCCGAAAAGGCGUUGAAACCAUGCUUUUCAACGUCGCCUAAGGAUGGGGCCGCGCCCGAUCAGGUUGUUGGUGAGGUAACGGCUCACCAAGCCUAUAACCGGUACGGGCCGUGAGAGCGGGAGCCCGGAGAUGGGCACUGAGACAAGGACCCAGGCCCUACGGGGCGCAGCAGUCGCGAAAACUCCGCAAUGCGCGAAAGCGUGACGGGGCUACCCCGAGUGCCGUCCGCUGAGGAUGGCUUUUCCCCGGUGUAAUGAGCCGGGGGAAUAAGGAGAGGGCAAGACUGGUGUCAGCCGCCGCGGUAAUACCAGCUCUCCGAGUGGUAGGGACGAUUAUUGGGCUUAAAGCGUCCGUAGCCGGCUUAGCAAGUCUUCUGUUAAAUUCAGCGACUCAAUCGUUGAGCCGCGGGAGAUACUACUAGGCUAGGAGGCGGGAGAGGUCGACGGUAUUCUCGGGGGAGGGGUGAAAUCCUAUAAUCCCGGGAGGACCACCAGUGGCGAAGGCUGUCGGCUAGAACGCGCUCGACGGUGAGGGACGAAAGCUGGGGGAGCGAACCGGAUUAGAUACCCGGGUAGUCCCAGCUGUAAACGAUGCGGGCUAGGUGUUGAGGUGGCUACGAGCCACUUCAGUGCCGCAGGGAAGCCAUUAAGCCCGCCGCCUGGGGAGUACGGCCGCAAGGCUGAAACUUAAAGGAAUUGGCGGGGGAGCACCACAAGGCGUGAAGCUUGCGGUUCAAUUGGAUUCAACGCCGGGAA
rnacentral:rRNA from 1 species